CUUCAUCGCACGAGGCUAUGAGACUCUAUUUUUAGCAUCCUUGCGUUCUGCAAAUCAGCCGAUGAAGCUCAUAGAAGGCAACCUACUAACACUGUGGUCUAUAUAUCCUAUUGAUUCGUUUUUACUUGCUGUCGGUUAUAGCGGGCGUCGUAAAGACCGACUAGCCUAGUUCUCUCUUUUUAGUCUGUUUUUCCCGUUGAUGAAUGAGCAAUAAUGAGCCAGCGUUGUUUCUGGCGAGACGCUUAGCAGAUGUUUUUGACGAACGAUGGUGCGCUGGACAGCUGGUACACUCGUCGGUUCCGUGUCGUCGUUUGAAGGUUGACUGCCAGUCUUAAAAUAGGUUCAGUACAGUGGAGCUAUCUUUCAGAAAACUCCUUAGACUCCUACCCGUAUUUGCCAACGUAGCCUGUGCCCUCUCGCAUCAUUGGCUUUUCGUUGUCAACCCACAUGUGCCAUUUACUUCACGCGCCAAGCCACCGCCUGCAGAGGCGCAACGCGAAAUUGAAGGUCUAGUAGGGCACCAGAGUCGAAGGUGCGUACUGCGGGAUCACCUGACACACGUCAAAGAAAAGCAACAAAAAAAAGGUAUUCAUGGCAAACAAAGGUGCUCAUGCUACUUGACAUAGAUCUAUUACAUUGCUAUGGAUUCGGCGUUCUGAUUACGUAUCAAGCGAGCAAUGACAGGACUGCAACAGUUUCAGCGGUCGUUCCGGAGGACAAUGAAAAGAAAAAGUGAACUAGUCAACCAGCUACGGAUCUGUUCCUUACUGCACUAUACGACACCUCCUGAUUAAGACCUGUCAGUUUAUGUGAGACUGCCUGUUCUGUCUGCCAGCAAUCAAGCACACCCACAUCGAUUCACUCACCCUUCAACGACACAGCUGCAAGCUUCUCAGUUUUAAUACCCGCAGUGUCUAUACGUCAGACCAUUGUCGUCACCGCCAACGACGAUUGUUUGACAUGAGUGUCUGACGCGACCUACGAAAAACGGCGAAAGACGCAUCCAAAGACAUGUACGUAAUACAAAGUUUCCAUUGAGGUGACAACCAAUCGGCACCAUCUCCAUCGCUCCUUCGCCCUUCAGUAGCCUACUCCCGUAGGAACAAAGGCUUCGGGGCACCUCAGAGCCACAUCGCUCACAGCUGCAGACGACGGUUUCCACCUCGAUUCACUACUCCGCUUUCAGGUUCGUUCUACUUGCUUGAUCGUCGCGGUGGUGGUUAGUAUCACAUGGAGUUGGUUGCAGAGAGAAGUUAAUCUCGGAUCGACGCGCUUAGUUUAUUUCGCCCCCUUUUUUCGUUUCUCUCUUUCCUCCUGAAUCGACUGGUUGAGUUUACCUCUGAGUGGUUGGAUGGCCUUACCCCAGUUCUUACCAUCGAAGAAGAGACUCAUACGCGGAUCGGAAGGAAGCAGCGGCCAGUCUACGGAACACGACAGUGUUGCUUGAAAACCUACCUACAUCGUAGAAUCUAAUACAACUUUGUUCAUCCUUAGAUGGCGGCUGUCGCGAAGAUUAACUUAUUCCCGAUAGAGUUGGACAGUUUUUGUGUCUUUUUGCUUAGGUAAGUUGCUGCCAGUAGGCGGGAGCUGCGCGUUCCAGUCCUAGUUUCUGGUCGACCGAAUGAGAGAGGUACACAGAUGAUAUAACUUGUAGCAUCGCCGAAGCCUCCGCACAGGUUUAACUGCGUGAAUUGGUUAGGUGUGAAAAGUAAAGCGUUGAUAUGGCAACACUGUGAACCACAGAACGGCGACCUAGUUGAUCGAUCCUAGAAAACAGUAUACAUUUAAAUCUCUGUAAAUUAUGUUGUUGGCGGAUUGAUACAAGAGUUGAGCGCUUGCACAAAUCCUGAUCUGGUCGCGGGUCUACAAUGGGGAGUUCUGCGCUUUCCGAUAGAAAUGUAUGCUUGUAUGUUAUGUGAUAGACGAACUUUUCCAGUGGCGGCAGAUAUAUUAGCCCUACAUUGAGUGGCUGACUAUUCGCUGGCCGAUCGCUUGCAGAGAAGGGUUGAAUAAAUAAAUCCAUGGGUCUAUGGAAAGAAGGCGGACUCCACGUUAAAUUUUGAGCUAUGGACCGCACUACGGAGUGAGAUCACGUGUGGGCUAACCGGGGAUGAAGUAAAUUUUCAAUAAAAUGCAAAUCAUGUUUACCACCACCGAUGCCGCCUUUCCUCCAAUGCUCUAGAGGACGAACAGCCGGCUGCCAUCGCCAAAGCAUCGGAAGCCGAAAAUCUACAGAGUUGUUCAACUGGUGCCAGCCAUUCCGAACCCAUUGAGUUCAGUUUCUGCGUCUCAGCAAUCAAACGUUCCUUUUUCUGCCUCUUCUCCUGUGAACUCAAAGUGAAAAACCAGGCGUCAACGCCAACACUAUUACGUAUAAACCGGUUCUUACUGGCCGAUUGGGUCACGAUAAUAGCAGCAAAGUUUUAAACCAAACUUCAUUUUCCGACUUCGUCCAUUGAGUUCCAUGGUAGAAAAAAAAAAAACGGAUUCAAAUGGCUUCAUUGCUGUCCGCUCCAUUCUUCUUAUUUUUUGCUGCAACAGAAAAAAAUUGCGGAUCACGAGCGGCCAACUGUAUCAGGCCAUGGAAUACCACGAAGUAACUGCGGACGGACUGGAUAAGGGAUGUCUAUAUGUUCUUUAGUUUUUAGAUCGUGCAAUAGAGUCAUUCAUAAGACUUACGUUGAAAAAACCUCUCUUUGUUUUCAGUUACCGAAUGUUGCUGUGGUAGAAAGGCAUCCGUAACGUAAAAAUAAGCUUAUAUUAUUUUUCUAAAUAAAUUAAUUAAAGUAGAAAACAUUAUGUUCGGUAAGUGUGCCACAAGUUAGACAUUGAUGAUUGUAAAAUUUAAGUAAGUUCAAGAAAGACUUACAACGAUUGCCGGGUUUCCUGGACAGGAACUGCCGGGUGCCUGGCCUGCAUCAACAACUAGUUAUACAUUUUGAAAUAAUUCAACAAGAAACUACAGUAGCUUUAUUUAAUAUUUACCUUUUAUUUUUCCAAUUCUUUAGUGCCAUACAACGUGGCCUAGACUUUACGGCUCGAACCAAAUGCAUUUUUUGACAGAAGUAUAUAUUAUCACUGGUCACUAUAACAGGUCGAUUUCCUUUGAACUACAUCCACUGCGGGUGUAGUCAUUGUAGACCCGCUUGUGACCGUCUUGGGCACGUUGUUCAUUGAUUUUCAGCGCCGGUAUUAUAACUUUCUUGAUGCAAUGGUCAUCGAAUCAUCGAAAAUCUCUCCCUGCCUUUUCUGUCUGAAGUAGCUAUGGCGGUAGUAAGUCACCCGGCAUCGCACUUUUACAAAACGCCUGACCUUCGGGUCAUUCAACGUUGGCAAAUGUUCCCGCGAAUAGCAGGCGGUAGCCAAGCAGCAAAGACUUCAGGUUUAGUCAGAGUAAAGCUUUGCUACUGACUCUCGGUCCGUUGCUGGUGGGGCAGACGGUUCUCUGACAGGUAUUCGCUGGUUAUCACUACUGACAACCGACUCUGCCCCCUUGUUUUGCUUUUGGAUUAACCCCCGUCUCCGGAGUUUGCUGUAUUUUGUCACUGUCAGAGGCGAAAAAGACCUUUCAGUUCCCUGAGGCUCUCUUUAGUUCUCGCUCUUUCAGUUGCUUCCUUUUUGGCCCCCUUUUCUCUUCUGCCCCUGUUCCGUUCGCCUAAAAGGCCUGCCACCUGCAUUAGGCUUUCUUUGUAGUACCACCUACUACCAAGUACUAAAACGUCGCCCGCUGCCCGCGCUGACUGCUGGUCAUAAAGGACAGAAAAAAGAUGGCUCAAUUUUCGGAUUGCUCUUCCCUUUAAGGUUGUUUCGCUACCUCAUUCUCCUUCACCACAAACAAGUGUUCCUAAAAGGAAGAAGCCACUAGCGUUUGAAUCUAUCUUCUUUUUUAUCACCCAGCUCAAACAAAACAAUAUAAAGCUGUUGGUCUGAGUGGCGGGGAGCAACAGGGGGCUGGCCCUGAAAAUCAGUCGUUUCUCGGUUGCCAUUCCAGCGGCACAAAUGCUGUCAGACGGCAGCGACGUGAAGCGUUACUGGCACGUAUUAUAUUUUUAUAAGGAAUAUUAUAAUCAGAGGUAAUUGCCUAAAAGCUGUUUCCACUAGGAAAAGAACUUUGAGUAUAGAAAAAUGCGAUUUUUAAAUAUGGCGAAACGGCUGCAUUAUUUGCUUUAAGCGUAGACUUUUAGAUAAAAUGUUUGACGUACGCUUCGCAGCGGCAUAAACGCUAAACACGUGUGAAUAUCGAAACUAUAGAACGAGAUAGAUUUCAUCGAUCUUAGCUAAGGACAUGUUACUGGACAUGCAAAGAUAGGGUAUGGCAGAAUUUCCGCUCACGUCCAUUUUUGUAGAGCUUGAUUCACUAGUCAUUUACAGCGAUAUUACCGUCGAGUGGCUUUUAUUGAUUCGGUGUGAACAUGGCUCUAUUGGCAAGCGUAGAACGCAGUAUAACCUAAAGCUUAUUAGAGGCAAUCAACCAAGCAAUUUUUACAGAAAGGAGAUACGUUUAGUUAACAGAGAGCAUCUCGCACAGUAUCUAUUCAUGUAG
rnacentral:lncRNA from 1 species